rnacentral:rRNA from 1 species
AUACGGAGGGUGCAAGCGUUAUUCGGAAUCACUGGGCGUAAAGGACGCGUAGGCGGGUUGGCAAGUCAGAUGUGAAAUCCUACAGCUUAACUGUAGAACUGCAUUUGAAACUGCUAACCUAGAGUAUGGGAGGGGGAGAUGGAAUUAGUGGUGUAGGGGUAAAGUCCGUAGAUAUCACUAGGAAUACCGAAAGCGAAGGCGAUCUCCUGGAACAUAACUGACGCUAAGGCGUGAAAGCGUGGGGAGCAAACAGGAUUAGAAACCCUAGUAGUCC